rnacentral:tRNA from 1 species
GGAGGAGUGGCAGAGUUGGUCUAUCGCGUCGGUCUUGAAAACCGAAGCCCGCGAAAGCGGGCCGUGAGUUCGAAUCUCACCUCCUCCG